AUCAAGCCUCUUUUGAUUCCCCCAUUACUGGGCAAGACUUUGUUGGUAUUUUCCUGACAAAAAUCGAUGCAAUCAAUUUAUGAUUUGUGUAUCCAUGGCAACAUGCACGAGGAGAGCAAUCAGAGCUAGGAAAUAUACCCCGAAAACACUUGCAGAAGCCUCCAAACUGGUCCAGAAUGGCACCAUUUUGCUUAACUCAGCUUCCAAGUCCUAAGGCAUACCUAAAAGCACUUUGCACGAUUUUCUUAAGGGGAGGUACGCAACAAACCGACAUGGGCCUAGAACUGUUCUUACUGAAGCUGAGGAAACUCGCCUCGCUGAUUGAGUGUUGGAAAUGUCAAGAAUAUGAUAUGGCCGUACAAGACAAGAACUGUAUUUAACAUUGAAGAAGAUUCUUGACGACGAUGGGCGCAAAACACCAUUUAAAGAUAACAAACCUGGAAAAGACUGGUACAACGUUUUUGCUAAACGGCAUCCUUAGCUUGUAGAAAAAACGUGCGGAAAUAGACUCCUAUACUUACCAUAUUCAAGCUGCCGUAACAUACGCUAUGUAAUGCACAUAACUAUAAUGAACAUAAGAAAAUGUAGCCCAUACUCUGGUAAAAUUGAUAUGCAUACAUAGUCCCGAAAUACACUCAUAUGAUCGGCGCUAGUAAGAAUCUCGCUUAAGUGUUCGGAAAUACCCUCCUCCGCUCUAACUUAUGUUUUUGAACGUAUCUAUGUUUAAGCUGUUAGUUGUUUAAUCUUAUUAGCUGUUUCUUUUCUGGAAUUAUUGGAAACGAUUGGGUUAUUUAAUCAAGCACUCCACAUUGUUCUGUACUGGAGACUGAGCGUAAGGUGUAGAAUGGGGGCAUAUGUUUUAGAUUCGAUUGUGUUUUAACAAAUAAUGUCCGUCCGGUGUAGAAAUGUGUGGUCACUGUUAUUGUCUUUUCUGGACACGGUUGUUUCGGACAAUAAAACACAAUUACAAGGGCGUUAUAAAUAAUGAAACACUGAUUUGCAAAAGAAAGCGUUUAUUGUGAAAAAAAUAAAAACAUAAAUGAUA